AAAAGGCUUCCAUCUUUAAGGUGCAUAAAGCUAUAGAUUUCUUCACUCAUACUAAAUCACUCGCUUCAUCAACAUUUAGACAUAAUUUUCACUCGUUGAAACUCAUCGAACACCAUAACAUACCAAACUUCCAACUCUACAUUCUAAUUGUAUGCCGCCAAACUUCAUGUCAAACAAACACCAGAAGAUGAUCUUGGAAUCAUCUUCUCUUGUUAACAUUUUCCGCCCAAUAACAUUUUUCAUUCUUUUACAUCAUAUGAAACAAAGCCUAUGUCUUUCUUGUUAACAUUUUCCGCUCAAUAACAUUUUUCAUUCUUUUACAUCAUAUGAAACAAAGGCUAUGUCUUGCUCAUCAUUUGCAGCUCUUAAAGAGCUACAAAAAUGAAACUUACAAGUAUCAUAUAUAUUUAGCCAUUAUCUUCAUACCCUUCAGAAUCCUUGAUUCACAAUCCAGUUCUUCUAUAACUCCAAAUCAACUGAUUCUACCCUUUAAAUUUAUGUUCUUUUCUUCUACAUAAUUCAUUCAAGUAUUAAGAAAACUUCCUUUUAACAAUUCUCUUUUUCCGCACACACAUUUGAUAUUUAUAUGUCAUUCCUUGAGGAAUUAACAGCACGCCACAAUUAAUUUUUCCGCGAAUAACAAUCCAAACAGCAUGAAACAAAAGAUCAAACAUUCAUUGCAAUAUACUCCGAAAAAUCAUCUAAGGAAUACAAAAAUUCAACAAAAAUAGCAUCUCAGAAUAUGCUCAAUAAAUAAGUAAACAAAAUUGAAAUUGGGUGAAUUUUGAGGGGAAACAAAGAAGGAUUCAAGCAUCAGAAUAAUGCAGUAUAGAUCGAGAGAAAUGAAAUUAUUUGAUUUGCUCUGAAAAAGAACAAAAAACUUACAGUGAUACUCAGAAGAAACGGAGAAUUGGUGUAGAAUUGAAGAAGCCCAACAGCUACGAUCUCGA
rnacentral:lncRNA from 1 species